ensembl:snRNA U6 U6 spliceosomal RNA
GUGCCUGCUUCAGCAGCACCUACAGUGAAAUUGGGACAAUACACAGAAGGCCAGCAUGGCCGCCAUGCCACGAUGACAUGCAAAGGUGUGCAGCAUUCCUUAUUUUU